rnacentral:rRNA from 1 species
GAUGAACGCUGGCGGCGCGCCUAACACAUGCAAGUCGAACGGUUAAAGCACCUUUUAGGUGUGUAUAAAGUGGCGAACGGCUGAGUAACACGUGGGCAACCUGCCCUCCUCUUGGGGAUAGCCUCGGGAAACCGAGGAUAAUACCCGAUACUUCAAUGUGGCCGCAUGACGACAUUGAGAAAGCUUUUGCGGAGAAGGAUGGGCCCGCGGCCUGUUAGCUUGUUGGUGGGGUAGAGGCCUACCAAGGCAAUGAUGGGUAGCUGGGUUGAGAGACCGACCAGCCAGAUUGGGACUGAGACACGGCCCAGACUCCUACGGGAGGCAGCAGUGGGGAAUCUUGCACAAUGGGCGAAAGCCUGAUGCAGCGACGCCGCGUGCGGGACGAAGGCCUUCGGGUUGUAAACCGCUUUCAGCAGGGACGAGGCGAAAGUGACGGUACCUGCAGAAGAAGCCCCGGCUAACUACGUGCCAGCAGCCGCGGUAAUACGUAGGGGGCAAGCGUUAUCCGGAUUCAUUGGGCGUAAAGCGCUCGUAGGCGGUCUGUUAGGUCGGGAGUUAAAUCCGGAGGCUCAACCUCCGCCCGCUCCCGAUACCGGCAGACUUGAGUUUGGUAGGGGAAGGUGGAAUUCCUAGUGUAGCGGUGGAAUGCGCAGAUAUUAGGAAGAACACCAGUGGCGAAGGCGGCCUUCUGGGCCAUAAC